CGUGCGGACACCAAGCCAAACCAGGGAGCUAUAUAAACUAUGUGGUUUGUAACUCUGCACUGAUGUGAGCAUGCGCUGUGGAUUAAACGCAUACCCGGAAAUAAAAAUACAGAAACGGCGAUUAUUUUUAAACAUGUUUAAUUAAUUUACAAAAUGUAACGGCACAUGACAAGGAAUAGCUGAGCUGCGAAGGCUUCGACAUAAUGCUAGGGUUUAACAUUUCAUUUAUUUGUGUAUUAGUGGCAGGCAAUACUAAUACCACAGAUGAACAUCUUUACUAUUACUACAUCAGGACUGUGCCCACAUCACUGACGAUGCACCACCUGUGCAGCGCAUAACCAAAGAGGAGUUAUCUCUGUACAGCGGAGAGAACAGCAAGGGCCUUUACCUGUCCAUCCUAUAAUGUUUACAUAUUUUGCACAACUCAUCUCAUAUGUAUAUAUUAUAUUCUACUGUAUUUUAGUCAAUGCCGCUCCGACAUUGCUCGUCCAAAUAUGUAUAUAUUCUUCUUAACUCCGUUCCUUUACUUUAAAUGUGUGUAUUGUUGUGAAAUUGUUGGAUCUUACUUGUUAGAUAUUACUGCACUGUUGGAGCUAGAAACACAAGCAUUUCGCUAAACCCGCAAUAACAUCUGCAAAACGUGUAUGUGACCAAUACAAUUUGUUCCUAGGACAGGUGUUCGAUGUAGAAAAAGGGAUGAAGCACUAUGGACCUUGCGGUGGUUAUAAUUUAUUUACAGGUGAUUUUCUCUACCUAGCUAGCUAACUUAGUUGACUGCUUUGGCUAGCCAAAAGGGACUCCAUUUGAAAGUUGCAUCAUCUUAUCCUUUAAGGCUUUAGAAGUGUUCUUACACUGAUUGUUGAACAUUCAGGGCAACUGGGACGCAUCAGUGGCAGGCAUUGUUGUCACCUUAGCUUGCAACAUAACUUCUUGCGUGAUAGGAACCCUGAGCACCACCAGCAAUCAGUCUACACCACUGAGCACACCCCCGUUGUUACUAUGACAACGGACAUGCAAAUCCAAAUUGUCACUUGUCUCUUGCUGUUUUGGACAGUCAGUAUACCAAAACGGAUUUAUUUUUAAUGAUUGGAGCUUUAAGGCCUGCAGUGAGAACAAGAAUUAAAUGUACAUGAAAACAUGUACAAGAUUAUAUAGCAAAUACACUUCAAAAGAUACACAGAUUUUGGCAGACUUGUGAAUUCAUUUUAUGCUCCAUCUCUGGCCUUUGUCACUGGGGACUUUACACAUACCAGUCUGACUGAUGAUGUGUCCAGUCUGACCUCUGCUCAGGUGGUGUCCCUGUAAGACUGGCUGACCUUCUAUCACAAGGACUACAAGCCUAUGGGCAGACUGGUGGGGGCAGUUUUACAGUGAUGGUGGAGAGCCCACAGUGGCCUUGCUGCAGGUGGAGGCAGCCCUGGAGGAGGGGCAGACACUCAAGGACCAAGCCCAGUCUGAGAAGUAACACCUCCCAGCCAGCAACUCAGAGUGGAGUGCUGCCAGGAGAGGACGGGUCUGGUGCUCCACCAAGAGGAACUGACAUCAUGGUGCACAGAGAAACUUCGUGCAUGUUUGACAUUGCAGUCGGAAGUUCAGGCGACUACCGACUGAUUGAUCUACAAAUCACCCGGAAUCAUAAUGGUGGAGUGCAGAGAGACUAGGCCGGCGUACCAAGGGUACUGUUCUCUCCUGGCUCGGGCAGCUCUCACUGUGUAUGUGUCCAGAACUCCUCCACAGUGAAAAACCCUAACAUCCAGGAUUAUGAGGGCUGCCCCCCCACUCACGCUGAGUCAUGUCCUGUCAGAGAGUAGAGGGUGAGGUUAGACAAAAGGGGGCUCUGUGAAGGCUGGGCCACCUCACACACAGACUAUCUACAAGGGCCUAUAUACUGUUAUCUAAAACUUCCCAAUAGUUCUGAAUUAGAAUGACUGGGUAUCUGAUUGUCAGUUUGAAGGUAACCUCUGUUGAAUGGUUUCUGUUCUUUAUGCAUGUACAUUUUAGUUUAAUUAAUAUGCAAUAUGUCAACUAAUUGCAAGUGCAAAUGGCCAAAUACUGUACACUCAAUAAUUAGGAAUAGAAGGGAAAUGUUUUAUACUACAUGGAACCAAAAUAUAAAUGCCACAUGUAAAGUGUUGGGCCCAUGUUUCAUGAGCUGAAAUAAAAUAUCACAGAAAUGUUCUUUGCACAAAUAGUGUAUUUCUCUAAUUUUGUGCAAAAAUGUGUAUUUAAUCCCUGUCAGUGAGCAUUUCUCCUUUGCCAAGAUAAUCCAUCCACCUGACAGGUGUGGCAUAUCAAGAAGCUGAUUAAACAGCAUGAUCAUUACACAGGUGCAACUUGUGCUGGGGAUAAUAAAAGGCCAUUAAUGUGCAGUUUUGUCAUGACACAAUGCCAGACGUCUCACGUUUUUAGGGAUCAUGCAAUUGGUGUGCUGACUGCAGGAAUUGAAUGUUCAUUUCUCUAGCAUAAGCCUCCAAAGUCAUUUUAGAGAAUUUGGCAGUACUUCCAACCAGCCUCACAACCGCAGACCACGUGUAUGGCAUCUUGUUGGCGAGCGGUUUACAGAUGUCAACGAUGUGAACAGAGUGCCCCAUGUUGGCGUGGGGUUAUGUUAUGGGCAGGCAUUAGCAAAAGACAAUGAGCACAAAUGCAUUUUGUUGAUAGCAAUUUGAAUGCACAUAGAUACCGUGACGAGGUCCUGAGGACCAUUGUCACGCCAUUCAUCCGCCGCCAUCACCUCAUAUUUCAGCAUGAUAAAGCACGGCCCCAUGUCGCAAGGAUCUGUACAUAAUUCCUGGAAGCUGAAAAUGUCAAA